GAUGAACGCUGGCGGCGUGCCUAAUACAUGCAAGUCGAGCGAACAGACGAGGAGCUUGCUCCUCUGACGUUAGCGGCGGACGGGUGAGUAACACGUGGAUAGCCUACCUAUAAGACUGGGAUAACUUCGGGAAACCGGAGCCAAUACCGGAUAAUAUAUUGAACCGCAUGGUUCAAUAGUGAAAGACGGUUUUGCUGUCACUUAUAGAUGGAUCCGCGCCGCAUUAGCUAGUUGGUAAGGUAACGGCUUACCAAGGCAACGAUGCGUAGCCGACCUGAGAGGGUGAUCGGCCACACUGGAACUGAGACACGGUCCAGACUCCUACGGGAGGCAGCAGUAGGGAAUCUUCCGCAAUGGGCGAAAGCCUGACGGAGCAACGCCGCGUGAGUGAUGAAGGUCUUCGGAUCGUAAAACUCUGUUAUUAGGGAAGAACAAAUGUGUAAGUAACUAUGCACGUCUUGACGGUACCUAAUCAGAAAGCCACGGCUAACUACGUG
rnacentral:rRNA from 1 species